rfam:Chlamydomonas reinhardtii strain CC-503 cw92 mt+ CHLREscaffold_64 genomic scaffold, whole genome shotgun sequence.
UUGUGCUUCGGCACAACUGCUAAAAUUGGAAAAAUACAGAGAAGAUUAGCAUGGCCCCUGCGCAAGGAUGACAUGCACAAAUCGAGAAAUGGCUCCAAAUUGUU